rnacentral:rRNA from 1 species
UACGUAGGGUGCGAGCGUUGUCCGGAAUUAUUGGGCGUAAAGAGCUCGUAGGCGGUCUGUCGCGUCUGGUGUGAAAUCCCAUGGCUCAACUGUGGGCUUGCAUCGGGUACGGGCAGACUAGAGUGCUGUAGGGGAGACUGGAAUUCCUGGUGUAGCGGUGGAAUGUGCAGAUAUCAGGAGGAACACCGAUGGCGAAGGCAGGUCUCUGGGCAGUUACUGACGCUGAGGAGCGAAAGCAUGGGGAGCGAACAGG